CUCGUCAGGCUCAGUCCCCUCCCGAUAAACCUGGAAAAAAGCACCUUCCCGGGAGGAGACUCAGACU
rnacentral:pre_miRNA from 13 species